UACCAGCACCCCGAGUGGUCGGGACGAUUAUUGGGCCUAAAGCAUCCGUAGCCGGUCAUGCAAGUCUUCCGUUAAAUCCAGCCGCUCAACGGUUGGGCUGCGGAGGAUACUACGUGGCUAGGAGGCGGGAGAGGCAAGCGGUACUCAGUGGGUAGGGGUAAAAUCCUUUGAUCCAUUGAAGACCACCAGUGGCGAAAGGCG
rnacentral:rRNA from 1 species